UGGAUGUGAGGGCAGAAGAGAGCCCGAUUGCCCGAGCUGGGAGCUCUGUAGACAAAUUCUACUACAUGGCGGGUCCCACCCAGCCUUGCUCAGGGGAUCUGGGAAGCUGGUGAAAGCGAGGAGUGGCGACAGGCUCUGCUCCUGUCUCCUGGCCUCUUCCAAGUCCAGGAAAGCAAGCCUUGCUCAUUGCUGCUUCUCUCCUGCCUGCUGACCUUGAAGAGAUCGCUAGAGCAACUUCAUGGACCCUAAUGACAAGGGCCAUUGGUAGAAGGUAACACACAGACACGAACCCUCAUCAUACCUGAGCCGUUGUCAUGUGUUAUAGUCCCAGCUACUCAGGAGUCUGAGGCAGGAGGAUUGCUUUAGCCCAGGAGUUCAUGGCAAGUCUGGGCAACACUGCAAGACCCCAUCUCAAAAAAGAAGAAGGAGAAGGAGAAAGGGGAAAAAAGAAAUCAUGCCUUUUUUUCCCCUAAACUUUUCAAAACUUAUUGCUAUAAAGUUGUGCCUACAGUUUUUAAAAAACAUAUGUUCUGCCCUUCAAUAGAUGGAUGAAUGGAUAAAAAAAUGUGGCAUUUAUACACAAUGGAGUAUUACUCUGCAUUAAAAAAUGACAAAAUCAUGGAAUUUUCAGGGAAAUGGAUGGCAUUAGAGCAGAUUAUGCUAAGUGAAGCUAGCCAAUCCCUAAAAAACAGAUGCCAAAUGUCUUCUUUGAUAUAAGGAGAGCAACUAAGAACAGAGUAGGGAGGAAGAGCAUGAGAAGAAGAUUAACAUUAAACAUGGACGAGAGGUGGGAGGGAAAGGGAGAGAGAAGGGAAAUUGCAUGGAAAUGGAAGGAGACCCUCAUGGUUAUACAAAAUUGCAUACAAGAGGAAGUGAGGGGAAAGGGGAAAAAAAA